rnacentral:rRNA from 1 species
AGAGUUUGAUCAUGGCUCAGGAUGAACGCUAGCUACAGGCUUAACACAUGCAAGUCGAGGGGAAACGACAUCGAAAGCUUGCUUUUGAUGGGCGUCGACCGGCGCACGGGUGAGUAACGCGUAUCCAACCUGCCCACCACUUGGGGAUAACCUUGCGAAAGUAAGACUAAUACCCAAUGACGUCUCUAGAAGACAUCUGAAAGAGAUUAAAGAUUUAUCGGUGAUGGAUGGGGAUGCGUCUGAUUAGCUUGUUGGCGGGUAACGGCCACCAAGGCUACGAUCAGUAGGGGUUCUGAGAGGAAGGUCCCCUACAUUGGAACUGAGACACGGUCCAAACUCCUACGGGAGCGA